UAGAAUCCAAUCGAUCAUUAAAGAAAAAAAAUCGACAUUUUCCAGUUUUUGCUUACCAACGCCCAUGAGACUCUGAGAGUGUGAGACAUGAACAAUGCUCCUUGGUUUUCCUUCUUUGCACCGCACUGAUCCCGCCGGAUUCUUGGUGUUUAGCGCAACCCCAGGCCGGAAUGCGCCCGCCGGCUCUUUUCCGUUUGUACGUAAGCAACGUUACCUGAGAAAAAGCCAGCGUCUGAGCAGAGCCGGAGCUCUGAAGGACUGGCAAGAAUAUGACGAAGCGGUGAAGGAUAAGGACCUCACUAGAGCUCUCCGGUUCCUCAAGGACAUUCCUGUUCAACCAAAGGAGGAAUCUUGGAUUGAUCCGAGUGGGUAUCCGAGUGAAUUGGAUUGGGCUCGGGCCGCUCGCCAAGACCGGAAUUGGGAGGUUUUGGAUACCUGCUUGAAUGCGGAUGAUAUGAGGCUUGUUGGGAGCGCCUACGCUUUUCUCAAAGACAGGGGCCUCUUGCCCAAUUUUGGGAAAUGCCGCAGUAUUGUUCUGGAAGGCCCAAGAGAUGUAACACCGACCUUAUUGAAGUCAUCGACAGGUUUAGAUGUGGCAAAACUUUCACCCAAAAAGUGGGGUCUUUCAGGAAGCUCUAGCUUUGUUUUGAUUGCUUUGCUUGGUGGAACCUCUUUUCUGGUAAAUCAGGGAAUUGACAUCAGACCCAACAUUGCGGCAGUACUGGGCCUGACCUUUCUUGAUGCUAUAUUUCUUGGAGGUUCUUGCUUAGCUCAGAUUUCAAGCUUUUGGCCUCCUUAUAGGCGGCGAAUCCUGGUUCAUGAAGCUGGCCAUCUUCUUGUAGCUUACCUCAUGGGUUGUCCAAUUCGUGGUGUUAUUUUGGAUCCCAUUGUGGCAAUGCAGAUGGGAAUCCAAGGCCAGGCUGGAACACAAUUCUGGGAUGAAAAACUUCAGAACGAGCUUUCUGAAGGCCGAUUGAGUGGAACUGCCUUUGACAGGUAUUGCAUGGUUCUUUUUGCUGGAAUUGCUGCUGAGGCUCUGGUCUAUGGCGAAGCCGAGGGUGGAGAAAAUGAUGAGAAUUUAUUUAGAAGCAUCUGUAUUCUUCUCGAUCCACCGCUUUCUGUGGCUCAGAUGUCGAAUCAAGCUAGGUGGUCAGUUAUGCAAUCGUAUAAUCUGUUGAAAUGGCAUAAACGUGCACAUCGAGCUGCUGUUAAAGCUAUGGAGGGCGGACAUGGUUUGAGCGUGAUCAUUAAAAGAAUCGAGGAAGCCAUGUCUUCCAGUAGAUGAACUAAGGAAUCCAAGAAAAGAAAUAUACUUUCAUCACGCAGGUAAAUGCGAUAUCUAUCACACCCUCGCUGCUUCUUUGUCUCGGGGGAGCAUACAUUUGAUGGGAAAUUCUUAUAACGCAGAAUAUGCAAAUUCGCGGGGUUAGCCUGGAAGGACAAAUAGCAUUAAAGCGAGAACUUCCCGAAUACUGGUACAGAUUUCAUCUUCAGUUUCGAGACCCAUCCAGCUUGUAGUAAUCCUUCAAGAAUUUGGAGGUCUUCUCUUCCCCGUUCCAUACAUCGAUGCCGGCAAUAUGUUCGACGGCUGCCGGAAUGUUGGACGGAAAAUUAAUGACCGGUUGUUUCAGGUGAAUAAUCGGUCAUUUGGGUUUAAAUGUAUCAAAAUGACAAGUUUUAGUGUUUAAUUGAACUUUUUAAAUGUUGAAGGGUUUAAUUGCACUUUUG